GAUGAACGCUGGCGGCGUGCCUAACACAUGCAAGUCAAGCGAUUCUCUUCGGAGAAGAGCGGCGGACGGGUGAGUAACGCGUGGGUAACCUGCCUCAUACACAUGGAUAACAUACCGAAAGGUAUGCUAAUACAAGAUGAUGUAAGAGAUUCGCAUGGAUUUCUUAUCAAAGCUCCGGCGGUAUGAGAUGGACCCGCGUCUGAUUAGCUAGUUGGUAAGGUAACGGCUUACCAAGGCGACGAUCAGUAGCCGACCUGAGAGGGUGAUCGGCCACAUUGGAACUGAGACACGGUCCAAACUCCUACGGGAGGCAGCAGUGGGGAAUAUUGCACAAUGGGCGAAAGCCUGAUGCAGCAACGCCGCGUGAGCGAUGAAGGCCUUCGGGUCGUAAAGCUCUGUCCUCAAGGAAGAUAAUGACGGUACUUGAGGAGGAAGCCCCGGCUAACUACGUGCCAGCCGCCGCAGUAA
rnacentral:rRNA from 1 species